GCAGUCGUGCCCGAGUGGUUAAGGAGAUGGACUAGAAGUCCAUUGGGGUCUCCCCGCACGGGUUGGAAUCCUGUCGACUGCG
rnacentral:tRNA from 1 species